UACGUAGGGUGCAAGCGUUAAUCGGAAUUACUGGGCGUAAAGCGUGCGCAGGCGGUUGUGUAAGACAGAUGUGAAAUCCCCGGGCUCAACCUGGGAACUGCAUUUGUGACUGCAAGGCUGGAGUACGGUAGAGGGGGAUGGAAUUCCGCGUGUAGCAGUGAAAUGCGUAGAUAUGCGGAGGAACACCGAUGGCGAAGGCAAUCCCCUGGACCUGUACUGACGCUCAUGCACGAAAGCGUGGGGAGCAAACAGG
rnacentral:rRNA from 1 species